AGAGACAUGGGUGGAGCCUGCUGCCCUCCGCCAGGCUGGGUGUUCUUUAGGGAGCUCUCGCCUUGUAAAGUUCAUCUACACCGUAGUACAGUACAAAAUGAUCUACAACUAUUGAGUGGACCAACUGAAAUCAUUUGUCAAUCCUCUUUGCAAAUGAACUUGUGCAAUGUAUUAAAACAUUUUUAAAGGUUCAA